UUGUGAUACUCCCCCCUGAGUUUCGACGACCUCUGGCCGAAGCGACAGAAGUGCCGGGAGAGCUUGUGAUACUCCCCCCUGAGUUUCGACGACCUCUGGCCGAAGCGACAGAAGUGCCGGGAGAGCUUGUGAUACUCCCCCCUGAGGUUGUGCUUUGGUGCUACACAACUUUUGUGAUGAGUGUUUUUCGAUUUAUGUGAUUGUCGGUAAACGACCAAUCACAAAUACUCGACACUCCAAGGUUGCCUUGAAACUCGGAACCUUUAAAGAUGGAGAGAGCUUGUGAU
rnacentral:lncRNA from 1 species